rnacentral:RNase_P_RNA from 3 species
UGAGUCGGCCGGGCGGUCGCGUCGAGGGAGACCUCGCCGAGGAACGUCCGGGCUCCGCAGAGCAAGGUGGUGGGUAACGCCCACCCGGGGUGACCCGCGGGACAGUGCCACAGAGAACAGACCGCCUCGACGUCCGGCCUCGGCCGGCGACGGGGUCAGGGUGAAACGGUGGUGUAAGAGACCACCAGCGUGCCGGGUGACCGGUGCGGCUCGGUAAACCCCACCUGGAGCAAGGUCAGACAGGGAGCGUUCGAGGGCUGCUCGCCCGAGCUCCCGGGUAGACCGCUGGAGGCGUGCGGCAACGUACGUCCUAGAGGGAUGGCCGCCACCCGCGCGGGGGAGACCGCGCGCGGGGACAGAACCCGGCGUACAGGCCGACUCAUCCA